AGAGACAGCAGUCGCCGCGGUAACACAGAGGGUGCGAGCGUUAAUCGGAUUUACUGGGCGUAAAGCGUGCGUAGGCGGCUUUUUAAGUCGGAUGUGAAAUCCCUGAGCUUAACUUAGGAAUUGCAUUCGAUACUGGGAAGCUAGAGUAUGGGAGAGGAUGGUAGAAUUCCAGGUGUAGCGGUGAAAUGCGUAGAGAUCUGGAGGAAUACCGAUGGCGAAGGCAGCCAUCUGGCCUAAUACUGACGCUGAGGUACGAAAGCAUGGGGAGCAAACAGGAUUAGAUACCCGUGUAGUCCCUGUCUCUUAUAC
rnacentral:rRNA from 1 species